UACAGAGGUCCCAAGCGUUGUUCGGAUUCAUUGGGCGUAAAGGGUGCGUAGGUGGCGCUGUAAGUCGGGUGUGAAAUUUCGGAGCUUAACUCCGAAACUGCAUUCGAUACUGCGGUGCUCGAGGACUGGAGAGGAGACUGGAAUUCAUGGUGUAGCAGUGAAAUGCGUAGAUAUCGUAAGGAAGACCAGUGGCGAAGGCGGGUCUCUGGACAGUUCCUGACACUGAGGCACGAAGGCCAGGGGAGCAAACGGG
rnacentral:rRNA from 1 species